UACAGAGGGUGCGAGCGUUUGUCCGGAAUCACUGGGCGUAAAGGGCGCGUAGGUGGCGACCCAAGUCCAUGGUGAAAGCUCGAUGCUCAACAUCGAGUCGGCCACGGAUACUGGGUUGCUCGAGCACUGUAGAGGCUAAUGGAAUUCCGGGUGUAGCGGUGGAAUGCGUAGAGAUCCGGAAGAACACCGGUGGCGAAGGCGGUUAGC
rnacentral:rRNA from 1 species